rnacentral:rRNA from 1 species
CGGGUGCACUGAUCCAGCCGGGCCUUUCCCUCUGUGGAACCCCAUGGCCUUCACUGGCUGUGGUGGGGAAACAGGACUUUUACUUUGAAAAAAUUAGAGUGCCCCAGGCAGGCCUAUGCUCGAAUACAUUAGCAUGGAAUAAUAGAAUAGGACGUGUGGUUCUAUUUUGUUGGUUUCUAGGACCGCCGUAAUGAUUAAUAGGGACAGUCGGGGGCAUCAGUAUUCAAUUGUCAGAGGUGAAAUUCUUGGAUCUAUUGAAGACUAACUACUGCGAAAGCAUUUGCCAAGGAUGUUUUCAUUGAUAAGGAACGAAAGUUAGGGGAUCGAAGACGAUCAGAUACCGUCGUAGUCUUAACUAUAAACUAUGCCGACUAGGGAUCGGACGAUGUUAUUCUUUGACGCGUUCGGCACCUUUCGAGAAAUCAAAGUGCUUGGGCUCCAGGGGGAGUAUGGUCGCAAGGCUGAAACUUAAAGAAAUUGACGGAAGGGCACCACCAGGGGUGGAACCUGCGGCUUAAUUUGACUCAACACGGGGAAACUCACCAGGUCCAGACACAGUGAGGAUUGACAGAUUGAGAGCUCUUUCUUGAUUCUGUGGGUGGUGGUGCAUGGCCGUUCUUAGUUGGUGGAGUGAUUUGUCUGCUUAAUUGCGAUAACGAACGAGACCUUAACCUGCUAAAUAGCCCGUACUGCUUUGGCAGUUCGCCGGCUUCUUAGAGGGACUAUCGG